UCAUACACUCAAAAAAACGAUUCCUGGCAAUAUUAGCUUUUAAGUAUUUGGAUCAUUUAGAUUUUAUUUAAAUACUCGUUUUUUAAAAUAUAUGUAAUCCGAUUUAUUAGAAUAUAUAUAAAUCUGUUCAAUUUAAAAAGUAUUAGAUUUAAUCAGUUAAAAUGUAUGAAUAUGAAUUAAAUAAAUCUAGCCGUGAAACAAACCGGAUAAAUUCUAUGAGAUUGGUUUACAUACAAAUUUCAGGAAACUGACUUUAGUAGAAGCGGAAAUGACGUCUAUUCACACUCCAGUCAGGAGGUGGCGCCAAAAUCAAAAAUAGACGCUACAGCACAUGGACUUCGCCAUUUUGCAUUGGACUGGAUCGUCAUCUCACUAGUCUACAAUCGCCAAAUUGUAGGUGAGUAAAGUUAACAAGUUUGAUGUGAUUAUCUUAAAUAUAAUUGUAUGUUGUUUAAUUACAUGUGUGACGCGUUGCAUGUUUCAGAGUAAAAUACACCUCACUACACAGACGGUCUGUUGGAAGUUACCCUGCAAUGUCUGUUGCUUUUAUUGGUUAAUUUUUGUGGUUUAAUGUUUGAAACCUAAGAAAUAAAUAAAGUCAUAGGCUACUAUAGGCUUAUCAGAAUAAAAUAAUCAUAAUCUCUGUGACUUUAUUAACAAAAGAAUGUUACAAUUAUACUAUGUUGUUGAGUGCAUUGUGUGUCUAACUAAAACUUUUUUUUUUACAGAUACAGCAUCAUUUCAUCGUCUAUAUGGUGGGACAACCUGCUAGACAGGUUGAAUACAUCUGUAUCUACCUCAAAGAAGGCAUGGAGAGACACAUUAAAGAAUAUGUGAAUUGUGAAAUUGGUGAGUUGGGGAUUGCACAGACAGUGGAAGUUUUGCAAAACCUACUUGCUGUCACACAUGGGUGUGAAAUUACUUUUUGGACUCAUUUAUGCACUUAAACUGAACUACCAGAAGAACAUCAGGUGCACCUUUGACCUUUCAAAAAAUCCUAAUGGAACUGGACUUGAUACAACCAAGCAAUCACUGAAAGAUACUUCAGUGAAUACCU